AGAGUUUGAUCAUGGCUCAGGAUGAACGCUAGCGGCGGGCUUAACACAUGCAAGUCGAGGGGUAACAGGGGAUUUCGGUUCUGCUGACGACCGGCGCACGGGUGAGUAACGCGUAUGCAACCUACCUUAUUCAGGGGGAUAGCCCGAGGAAACUCGGAUUAAUACCCCAUAGUUUGUAUAGAUCGCAUGAUCUGUAUAAUAAAGAUUUAUCGGAAUAAGAUGGGCAUGCGUGCCAUUAGCUUGUUGGUAGGGUAACGGCCUACCAAGGCAACGAUGGCUAGGGGUUCUAAAAGGAUGAUCCCCCACACUGGUACUGAGACACGGACCAGACUCCUACGGGAGGCAGCAGUGAGGAAUAUUGGUCAAUGGUCGAGAGACUGAACCAGCCAUGCCGCGUGUAGGAUGACUGCCCUAAGGGUUGUAAACUACUUUUGUAUAGGAAGAACAGCAGAUACGUGUAUUUGUGUGACGGUACUAUACGAAUAAGCAUCGGCUAACUCCGUGCCAGCAGCCGCGGUAAUACGGAGGAUGCAGGCGUUAUCCGGAUUUAUUAGGUUUAAAGGGUGCGUAGGCGGGAUUAUAAGUCAGUGGUGAAAUCUUACGGCUCAACCGUAAAACUGCCAU
rnacentral:rRNA from 1 species